GUUCACGGAUAGGAGCAUUUGAGUCUUGGCCAGACAGAGCACUGUUUUAGAAGGCGAAAGACUAUUCCGAAGAGAUCUUGUCCCGACUUGGGAUCUGUGAAAGUGAAAUGGAAACCUGCAAAGCCGACACUGGAUUGUUUCGGACAACGGAUACACAGCUGGAUAAAUGGAGUCAACACCGAAGAUGGAAAUAAGACCCCCAAGUGCUGUAUAAGGAUUUUGAAUGUCAUUUGGAGGAGAAUUCCUCGGCUUACACGUGUAACCAGUACAGUCUAGCCAUUUAGUAGAAAUUUAUUCAAUUUCAGACUGAAAUUCAAGACGCAAAAACAUUUGGUUCCAUUGUAAAGUCCCUGGUAAUUUUCCACUCGCCUCCGUUAUCGUCGUCCGACGCGUUGUUUGUCAGAAAAAACAACAACAAUGUCAUUCCAAAGAUGAGAGGGACGAAGUGGUGUAUUGGUUGAAAUAAGUUGUUUGCGUGGGAGAGGGAGAUGGAGAGAGAGUAUAACGUGUUGCCGUAAAUGAGUGCGGAGAGAGUAACUAACGAAGAGAGAGAGAGCGAUAAGAAGACAUUGAGAGGGAACCAGUUUUAAACAGUGAUGCCGAAUAUAGCUGAAUCAGAGAUGCAAGGUAUUACAGAAGAAGAGUAUUGCCGACCCUGUAAUAUCUAUAUAUUACCUCGAACAGGAGUACAAGCCGAGGGAGUUGAAAUUCUGGAGGAUCAUAUAGCUAUGUCAGCUGUAUGAUCGAUAUUAGCGGGCAAUCAAAAAGCAUAUAAAAACUUUGGUUCCAAAAGAAGUUCAACAAAUGAUGAUUUUGCACUGCUCCGGCAAAGUAAGAUCGGUUUAUCAUAUCAUACAUAUUGGUAUAUAGAAACGGUCGAUCCGAAAAAAUGCUGGGAGAAAAACGUUUUUGUCCAACUAGAUGAUUGUCUGUUUAGGGUCUACGUAAUCAGUUUCCAUGUCAGGUGCCGGUGCCGCCUGUCGAAACUAAUUUUUUAGUUUUAGAAUUUUUUACAUUACGUUUUUACAUAGAUACAUUAAUCUGAUUCAUUUAUGUGUUCAGGGCUGAGGGUCCGACUUAGCUAGUAAUAUUCAACCGAAUAUCCAAAUCAUAGAAUAUUGAUCAUGCACAGAGAACCAUUGUAGACCAGUGGGUAUUAAAAUACACUCUACGAAAAUGGAUAAUUGAAUAAUUUUUAAAGCAGUUCAGGUGAAAGAUAGGUGAAAUAGAAAGGAUAGAAUGGAUAUACAAGAAGAAUUUACAAUUACAUUAUUUUCCGCGGUUAAACUCAAAUUGUUCAACUGUUUAAAUAGAUGGGGGUUAAGUGGGCUAAGUUAAUUUUUAGAUCGGUAUAUUUAACAUAAAUUUAAAAAAAUGAGACGUUAUAUUUCUGAGGUUCAUACUAUACUAUGUCUUGAUUAACUUUAAUUUUAGCCCAGUUUAGGUGAAAAAUAUUGUGCGGUUUUUGUGGGUAAAGAGAGAGGAUAGAAUGGAUAUACAAGAAGAAUUUACAAUCAGGAUUUUCUACCAUUUACCUCAAGUCGUUGAACUGUUUAAAUAGAGAGGGCUUAAGUUGGCUAGGUUUUUUACACCAUACAAGACAAGACUCUAUAUUGUUGAGGAAUAAAAAUUGAGGCAAAAACUGUUAAA